CGUAGCUUGUUAUUGAAGUGAAAAUACGUUUCAUAAAACUAAUAACAAAGUGAUCGUUUAAAAAACGAUCAUUACGAUUAUGCGCGUGCGCAAUAGCUCCAUUGUGCCUUGCCGUCGUCUGCAAUCACCGUGACAAUGAACCCAACUUCGCCGCUUGAAAUGUUUUUUUCAUAGAAAUCCCGAAAAUGUACAUUGAGACUUGUCGCAGUACCAAAUGCUUGCCUCCUCUGAGAAUGUGCUUGAAACAAGAAUGUCCUGGAGAAAACAGACCGUCACAAGAGAAGAAGGAGGGCUUCCUGUAGAAAGAUCAUGGGGUGCCUUGAGGUUCCGACCUUGAAUUUCUGCCCUUUACCUCAAAGCGAUGGCCUCUUGGAGGA